AGUGAACGCUGGCGGUAGGCCUAACACAUGCAAGUCGAACGGCAGCACAGUAAGAGCUUGCUCUUACGGGUGGCGAGUGGCGGACGGGUGAGGAAUACAUCGGAAUCUACUUUUUCGUGGGGGAUAACGUAGGGAAACUUACGCUAAUACCGCAUACGACCUACGGUUGAAAGCAGGGGAUCUUCUGACCUUGCGCGAUUGAAUGAGCCGAUGUCGGGUUAGCUAGUUGGCGGGGUAAAGGCCCACCAAGUCGACGAUCCGUAGCUGGUCUGAGAGGAUGAUAAGCCACACUGGAACUGAGACACGGUCCAGACUCCUACGGGAGGCACCAGUGUGGAAUAUUGGACAAAGGGCGCAAGUCUGAUCCAGCCAUACCGAGUGGGUGAAGAAGGCCUUCGGGUUGUAAAGCCCUUUUGUUGGGAAAGAACAGCAGCAGGUUAAUACCCCGCUGUUCUGACGGUACCCAAAGAAUAAGCACCGGCUAACUUCGUG
rnacentral:rRNA from 1 species